AAGAGGCGAGUUUUAUCCUGACAGGUUAAGGUCCUGACCAAUGAUGGUCCCGACUGUACUGUUUUGUCUGCUGUCUUUUCAGUUUCAAUUACCUUUUGUUUUUCCUGCAAGAAACAUUUCUCUCAAGUGCAUGCAGGACACUGAUGAAUUCCUUUCUGACCUGAAUUCAGUGGAGCCCAAAGAAUACGCUCUAAGAAUGUAUGACGCCGUCGGGAAGCUUGGGAGCAAUAUUCUUAGCGGAAAUGUGGACAGGCUGGGAUCGUACAGUGAGUGUCUUGCCACCCAUGCGCCGUCGGGCCGCUUCCGAGGGCAGUAUUGCAAGCUUCAUGUCCUGCAGGAUGGCGCUGACUACAGCGUGGGCGUGUGUGUCCCUGAUUCUUGUGCUGAAGAGGAUGUGACUGAGAUGUCUCAGCUGGAUAUUUUAAGAUUCAGAAAUGCUUCAUUUUUGGCUCCUUCUCUCCCUCUCUUUACAAUAAAUUCUUCCUCCUCGUCUGUUGGGGGUGUGGCCAGAUGUGCUGCUGGAUUAUUCCUCCUAGACACGUUUGCUGCUGUGUGUCUGUUCCUCACCUUGCUGGGCCUCGCCCUUCCUCUGGCUGGAACUGUCUAUGUGGCAGCCACCGGGUGGGGGUCAGACCGCAGGGCAUCCCCCGUAUCCGAGGCACAUCCGGCCACUUAUGGGAGUCUGCCUUUGAGAGAGACGGUGGGGAGUGAGCAAGAGAACAGAAUCCAACGGACGGGUUGCCUGGCUCAUCUCUCACCGUCAGGAACCCCGCGCAGAGGAAAAAGGUUCCUAGGAGCCAUCGACUGUGCUCUGAGAUGCUUUUCUUGGCAGAAGAACAUGCCGGCCAUCUGGACCACAAAGACGCCAGGGAGCACGUGCUCUGCCCUGAAUGGCCUCCGCGUUCUGAGCCUCCUCUGGAUCAUUUCGGGGCACACCAGCCAGAUGACCGCGUGGCUGUCUUUGGAUAACGUCCUUGAAUGGAAAACCAGAGUGCUUACAAACCCACUGUACCUUUACUCGCGGAGUGGCCCGUUCUAUCUCGGGGUUGACACGUUUCUCCUGAUCAGUGGCUGGUUAAGUGCAAGAUCAUUUUUAAAGAUGUGUCAGGAUUCAGACGGAGGAAUAACCCCUAAAGUCAUACUCAGAUACUUUCUCAGUCGCCUUAUGAGGCUGCAGCCUCUUCACCUGUAUUCGGUGUGCUUGCUGGUUGGGCUGUUACCCCUGGUGCCCUGGGGACCUGUCUGGGAAGUGCCUAAGUUCCACCUGGAGAACUGCCGACAAGCCUGGUGGACGAAUCUGCUGUUGCUAAACAACUUCCUGUCGGUCCAGAAGGCGUGCAAUGGCUGGACGUGGUACCUUGCCAAUGACUUCCAGCUCCAUCUCACCACACCGGUGAUCGUCUUCAUCCACAGAAAAAGUCAACACGCCCUUGUCCUCCUUGGGGCCACGCUGUUCUUGGCAUCUUUCUCCGCCGCUGCUCUGCUCACCCUGGUUUAUGACCUUCCGGUGGCGGCUCCGUCGGAGGCAAGUGAAAACGCGGCCGUGUUGUAUUUCUCAGAGUACUACACCAAGCCCUACUGCCGACUCGGGCCGUUCCUCGUGGGCCUCUUUCUGAGCAUUUUCAUGCACCAAAACUACCAGGCAAACAUCCUAAAAACCAAGGUGCAGGCUCUGCUGGGAUGGGUUUGCUGCCUGUCUACGCUGUUCCUAGUGGUAGCUCUGGCGUACGUGCUGGACGACACCUCCGUCUCCUCUCCAGUGGCCGCUGCUGGGUACCAGGCCCUCCAUCGGACCCUGUGGGCGGCGGCUGUGGGAUGGAUCUUGUUUGCAUGUCAGGAAGGCUAUGGAGGUCUGGUGAACCGGUUGCUUUCCUGCCGUCCCUGGACGUUCCUGGCCAGCAUCAGCUACGCCUGCUACUUGGUGCACCCCAUCCUCAUCCUCCUCUACAAUGGGCUCCAGGAGACGCUGAUUCACUACACCGACACCAACAUGUUCUAUCUUUUCUCUGGACACUGUGUGCUGACCUCCAUCGCCGGGCUGGCCCUGACGCUCUUCAUUGAGAAACCAUGUCAGGAACUGAGGCGGUGCCUGCUGGGAUCAGCGCCUGCAGGGCCAUGAACUUCUUGCAAAACCCACAAGUGUGGAUGGUGAGCAAAAGCAGGAGUGGCCUCAUUUACAUGAUGAAUGCUAGGGAUCCCGAAAGGGGCAUGAAACUGAUUUUGUGAACGUUUAAGACAUACAAGUUCUGUGUUUAAUACAUAAAAGUGUUGUGGGAUAAUCUGGUAGCACAAUAAUCAUGCUCUAAUGUACCUUUUUAACAAGAAACAAAAACCAAAAAUUCCCCCAAAACUGGAGUUUUGAGGUCUCAUCUUUUACGUUUUUUUCUAUCUAUAAAUCUAUAUAUUCUAUGUAUCAGUGGUCAUAGGAAAGCAUCAAAUAUGGUGAAUUUAAUGUACUUUGGGUCAUAAUGCUCACUUUUCUCAGUAAAAUCACAGUAUGUCAUUUUUCACAUCAUAACUGUUUCUGUGUAGACUCGCUAUCCUGGAUGCUGUGACCCACUAGCGUGCACAAUUCGUGGAUCUGUCGCCACAGGCCUUCCACACGUUAUCCGUUUUACAAUAUAGUCCAUGAUAUGAGUUGGAUUGUGUCCCCUGAAAAAGAUAUGAAGCCUAAUCUCCCUUAGAAAGCGACCUGAUUUGCAGGGAGGGUCUUUACAGAGACAAUCAAGCUAAAAGGAGAUCAUGGGGGUCAGAGAGUGGAUGGCCUUAAUCCAAUAUGGCUGGUAUCUGUAUCAAAUGGGGAAAUCUGGACACAGAGAAGGACAUGCACUGAUGGCGACAACGUGAAGACACACAGGGAGAGUCUGGCCGCCGGCAAGCCAGGGAACGCUGAAGAUUGCUGGCAAACACAGAAGCUGGAAGGGGCAAGGAAAGAUUCCCCCCUAGAGGCCUCGGAGUGUACUUCCAGCCUCCAGGACAGUGCAGUGAUACAUUUCUGCUGUUUUAAACCAGUCAGUUUGUGGUUCUCUGUUACGGGAACCCUAGCAAAUGAAUACAUUCCUGCAACACAACUCCUGUGUCUUCUGUCCCGACCCCCUCGGUUUCCAGCAACGAGGCCCAGAGAUGCGGGGAGACUUUAAGGCCAAGUGGAGAAUCUGGACGUCCAGGUUCUCAGGCUUGUCUUCCUUCCUGGGCGUGUAAUUUCAUGUUAACCAUCCCUACUGACAUAUGUCUGACCUUACCUAUAAUAACGCUUUUUGUGUACUUAAUAGUUGCAGGAUUUAUUAACAACCAUGAGGUCACCAGGAGCUUAUCGGCAUGGGACGCUCCCCAUCUGUGCAGGCUCUCUUUGCCUUCAAGUGAAUUUGCAAGGAAGACCUCUGUGGUCGGGGGAGGGCUACAAACCCCAUAUCCUUUGACAGGGCAGCUGACAGCUAACCUUGUCCUUUUCCAGCCAGCCUUGGGGAGUAACGUCUCCUUGAGGUCUGGUCUGGUCCGCUAGCAGAAUAUGACCCGAGUGAGGAGCCAAGGCCCAGCCUGAUGUGUUCAAUCUGUAAAAAAAAACGCUCACCACGUUGGCUUUUUGGAUAAUUGCGAAGUUCACUGAGUUCCUCGGGAGCCCCCUGGUGGCCGAUUUGAACCCUCUGGCUUAAUUAGGCGAUCUUGAGGGUGGGUGGCAUUUACAGAAGGAACACUGCAUUCCCGGUAGACCCCAGUGGGAGAUGACUUGCCUGCGAACAUUGCUCGGCAGUUCUGUUGCCAAGAGCUUCUAGUCAUGAGGCUGGAAACCCAGGGUCCUUGGAAACAGCCUUCUGGUUAUUGACAUAGUCUUUGAAAGUUAUUAUUAUUAUUUUUUAAAUAAGAUAACAAAGUAAAACCCUCCCCACAACUGCAAUUUCAUGGAACAAAAAGUAGGGGCAGAGAAGUCCAGUUUUGUCCUGCCUAUUAUUUCAACCCCAAAUUCCCUAGAAAUUUAAGAUUUAUAGAAUGUGUGGACCUUAUUUGGAUUCUGUAACAAACUGUAAAAAAAUACGACAUUUAUGACACAACUGGAAACUUGAGCCCUGCCAAAAUAUUUGAUGAUAUUAAGGACUUACUAAUUUUUUUAAUGUGAUAAUGUGUUUUUCAAGUCCUUAUCUGUUAGAUGCAUACUGAAAUAUUUAUGGAGAAAAUAAUAUAAAAUAUAAUAUUUCUGUCACAACAAUAUAGGGAGGAAGUGGGAUAGAUGAAACUGGAUUGGCCAUUUAGGGAUCAUUUUGGAAGCUGGUGAGGCGUAUAUGGGACCUCAUUAAACUGUUUUCUCUGUUUUUGUAUAUGUUUGAAGUUUGUAUUAAAAACAGUGAAACAGAUUUACAGAGGCAGCAGGCCUAAGGAGAGUAAGUGUCAAUUUAUGGGCGUUUUUUUCUAAUUCCUCCUAAAUCCUGAAAUCUGUGUUUCAUCCUCACACACCAACCUGUGGAUAAAAAUAGGUCCGAUCAGUCUAGGAUCACCCCCAAUGGAUCUAAAGGAACCCAGCCCUCCUUACAUUCCUCCUGAUUGGUUUUGGGAGAGACCAGCGAUUCCUCGCUUGUCUUGUGAACACCUGGGCUCUGCUAUUUCCUUUAUUUUAUGAACUGGCUCUCCUCAGAGCUGCCCCAUCCCUGCUCUCCUGGCCAUCAGAACUGGUGGUGGGGGCCAGAGCCACCCAUACCCCCUCACGGCCCCACCCUACUCUCCAAAGCAUGCCGCCUCCUCCCCUGGCUUAUCUGCGUGGGAUGUGGGCCGGGCUGGCUUGGUGCUUGGGCCACUGUGUCCAUUCAGAGCACAAAUGGUCUCCACAAAUGCCACUGCAGAUAAAUCCCCUCGCCCCCACUCAUACCGUCUGUGCUUUCUUGCGCAGGCUUCGACGCAGGGCUGCUGGGUACUCAUCAUGUUUUCAUAGAAACUGCUUUGGCAGUUUUUCCUCUUUCUACUGUACACAGUAAUGGAAUCAACCCUGUCUCCCUUUAUCCCUCCACUUCCACUCCCCGGCCUGGUAACCACAAGUUUGUUUUCUAUGUCUGAGUCUGCUUCUGCUUUGUAAAUAAGUACAUUUGUCUCAUUAUUUUAGAUUCCACUUUUAGGUGGUAUCAUAUGGUAUUUGUCUUUCUCUUUCUGGCUUACUUCACUUAGUAUGACAAUCUCCAGAUCCAUCUAUGUUGCUGCAAAAGGCAUUAUUUUAUUCUUUUUUAUGGCUGUGUAAUAUUCCAUUGUAUAAACAUACCACAACUUCUUUAUCCAGUCAUCUGUCAAUGGACAUUUAGGUUGUUUCCAUUUCUUGGCUCUUGUAUAUAGUGCUGCUUAGCCCAUUCACUUAAAAAAAUUUUUUUUUAAAUCAAAGUAUAGUCAAUUUACAAUGCUGUCAGCCCAUUCACUUUUAAUGCUAAUGGUGUUCUACAGUGUGCAUGUGGGCCUUAAAUGUUCAUCCACUUAUCAGUUGGUGAGUAGACGUUUGGUUUGUUUCGAGUGUUCAUUAUUGCAAGCAUGGUUGUAACCAACUCCUUAUACGUGUUUCCUCAUGGAGAUAUGUUCAUUUUCCAGGGUACAUAGUCAGGAGCAUCGUUGCAGGAGUAUAAGGUGUAUGUAUAUUCAACCUUACCUGACAAUGUCAUGCAGUUUCCUAAAGUGACUUUCCAAACUCACACCUCCGCUAGCAGUGGUAGGCUGCCUGCUGUAUCCUGUUCUUCCAUUGGCUGUUAGUCUUCUUCCUGCUGAUCCUGAGAUGUCCUUUCUGUAUUCCAAAGUCUGAUCCUUUGUCUCCUGUGUUGCAAAUAUCCCAGUCUGUGGCAACUUCGUAUGUGGUGUGUUUCAUAUGCACGCUUUACAUUUUAGAGUAGAUGAAAUUAUCAGUCCUUUCCUUUUGGCUUGCACCUUUCAGAUCUUAUUAAUGAAAUCCAUAGAAAUAUUCUUUUAUGUUUUCUCCGUGGGGGAAAAAGACUCCAGUGAAAGUUCCUGAUUUCAUGCUGCGAGUUCUUUGAGUUGUUUGUAAGGCGGAUUUGUAAGGUUAGAGCAGUUCUCUAUGGGGUGGGGUGGGGGGUGGAAGUAAUUUUGCCCCUCCAGGGGAGAUUUGGCAAUGUCUGCAGGUUUUUUUGUUGUGAGUAGAAGCCAUGGAUGCUGUUAAAUGUCCUACAAUAGCCAUCUUCCAACCCCCAGUUGCAGAAUUAUCCAAUAAAAAAUGUCAGUAGCGCUCAGGUUGAGAGACCCUGAGCUAGGCAACAAUGGUGAGGAUUGCUGUGUUCACACAAACCAGGACUCAAACUCCUGCGUGGGGAGGACAGAGUGCUGUACCUGGGGCCGUCAGCACUUAGAAAAGUAACACUGGGUCUUUAUGUGCUGAACUUGGUAAAUAUGCCCCAGCCAAGUGUGGCGAGUCUACAGCAGGGGACUUGACCGAAUCCUCCAAACAACCAAAUUUUUGCUCUAAUCACAAUAGGAGGGGGGCAGUGUCACCGCAGGGAGCUUUAAUGAGGCUUUAUUUCCAUGCUAGUGAACCCUAACAUGUAUUAUUUGUAUCACAUGCUGUUUCAAAAGGCACAUCAUAUUUUCU